rnacentral:rRNA from 6 species
UGCAGAAUCCCGUGAACCAUCGAGUCUUUGAACGCAAGUUGCGCCUGAAGCCAUUAGGUUGAAGGCACGUCUGCCUGGGCGUCACGC